rnacentral:rRNA from 1 species
GACGAACGCUGGCGGCGUGCCUAAUACAUGCAAGUCGAACGGUCUUUUCUAUGGAAGCUUGCUUCCACUGAGAAGAUAGUGGCGAACGGGUGAGUAACACGUGGGUAACCUGCCCAUAAGAGGGGGAUAACAUCCGGAAACGGGUGCUAAUACCGCAUAGUUUUCUUGAUCGCGUGAUCGGGAAAGGAAAGACGGCCUUUGUGCUGUCGCUUAUGGAUGGACCCGCGGCGUAUUAGUUAGUUGGUGAGGUAACGGCUCACCAAGACGAUGAUACGUAGCCGACCUGAGAGGGUGAUCGGCCACAUUGGGACUGAGACACGGCCCAAACUCCUACGGGAGGCAGCAGUAGGGAAUCUUCCGCAAUGGACGAAAGUCUGACGGAGCAACGCCGCGUGAGUGAAGAAGGUUUUCGGAUCGUAAAACUCUGUUGUCAGAGAAGAACAAGUUGGAGAGUAACUGCUCCAGCCUUGACGGUAUCUGACCAGAAAGCCACGGCUAACUACGUGCCAGCCGCCGCGGUAAAAC